rnacentral:lncRNA from 1 species
UUUCCCAUUUUAUGGGCGUAGAUGGGCAUUAAAUUUUGACAAGUGUCCGUGAUGAGAUGGUAGGUGUAAAAAGGCAAGGAGCCCAACCAAUCAAACUGGUUGAAUCAUGUGAAGGCUUGACCUGGAACACUUGCCUUUCUCUAUCUCGGCCACCUAAUCACGUUUUGUCGCCAAUAUUUCCAUUUUUUUCCAAUACUACCUGUACGUCGUUUUNGCUUGACCUGGAACACUUGCCUUUCUCUAUCUCGGCCACCUAAUCACGUUUUGUCGCCAAUAUUUCCAUUUUUUUCCAAUACUACCUGUACGUCGUUUUUACACAUGUUCUAUUACUGCCAUUUCUUGGAAGCAGGAAUAGGCAGUUAUUGAUGGGGAUGUCAAUGGUCGAUUUCGGACCUGAGCGGCUCUUAUAGAACUCAAAACAGAACCCCAAAACAAAAAAAAAAAAA